AGCCUAUGAUGGUUUUAAGUAUAAGAGUAGUGGACAGAUGUGAUUUCUGACAACUGACUACUGAGGCU